ensembl:rRNA 5S_rRNA 5S ribosomal RNA
GUCUACGGCCAUACCACCCCGAACGCGCCCGAUCUCGUCUGAUCUCGUAAGCUAAGCAGGGUCGGGCCUGGUUAGUACUUGGAUGGGAGAAACGUAUUUUUGAAUGUCUUAACUA